rnacentral:lncRNA from 1 species
AUACGCUUGGAUCUUAAAAAAGUUUGCGCUCCCCAGUUCCAUGACCCUCAUGGAAGAUGUAGAACCUGAACUUCAUGGGAGAAUGAGAUCAUAAUGUAAAUGAAAGACAUAGAACAUAAGAGAGAUAGAGAUGAAAGGAAAAUGAAACAGGAAAUUCUAGUGGCAAAACUCUGUUCUCAAGUCCCAUUAAAGGAAAACACCAGAAUUAACGAGAGCGUGGAGCCCACUUGAUCCCGUAUUUAUUUUGGCAGAUGUCAGCCUUCCAUGCGCAGACUGGAGGCAGAGAGGAGACUCCAGUUGUGGAGCUGCUGGGCUCCCAUCUGAUGGCCACCAACCUGCAACAUGCAAGGAGUAUAAGCGCUUUUGUUCAUAACUCAUGAAGAAAUUUCUUCCACAUUAAAUAUUUUCAUUUCAUGGUCCUUGAAAAUGAGCACUUCCUCGUCUUUGAUUCAGCUGUCACAACAACCCAUGAGGUGUCCAUGUUUUCCAGAUGAGGAGUCUUACUUCCAGGGUCAACUUAGUGGGAAGGUGAGUUUGGACCUUAUAUCUCUAAACUCCUGUUAGAAUCCUUCUUCCACUACUCAGAACAUAGGUUGUAAGGUUUAAAAUUAAAUAAGAUGCAACUCCAGGACUAUUUCUUCAGAAGAACUCUUCAUCUGAAAAUGGCAAAAUUUAGGUCUCCUCAAACUCAUUUAAAAGCCAUGUUGAAGAACUCUCAUGACUUUUUCAGUUGGAAUGAGACUGUUUGAGGGAUUCCUCUACAAAAAAGACUGAACUUUAAUGGCUUCUCCUUGUUAGGAUUUCAUAAACUCUAGUCCUAACGUGCAUUUUCACGGAGCAUGGCAUCCUGAUUCCACAGGGGAUUUCAGUGGGACAUUGCCAUGUUCUCCUAGGAUGGGAAAAGAGGUCCCAGCUUCCCUCUUAGCUGACUCUUUCAGAAACAUUUACAGAGAGGGAAAACAGAAAAGUAAACUUAUUGAUUUAACUAUAGUAUAACUGCCAUUCAUUGAAA